UCUCAGGAGUUGGCUUACCCGCUACACUGGCCCCCAAAUCCUUACUUCUUUGGAAGUCUUAAAAUACUUUUUUGAGGCAGAGACAGUGCUCUUCUCUGCUGGUUUGCUCUCCAGAUGCCUUCAACAGCCAGGGCUGGGCCAGGCCAGAGCUGGGAGCCAGGAACGCAAUCCGGGCUUCCCAUAGGGUGACAGGGUUCCAAUUACUUGAGCCAUCACAGCUGCCUCCCAGUGUGUGCAUCAAGCAGGAAGCUGCAGCCAGGUCUCAGACGUGGGAUGUGGGGGUUUUAACUACUAAGCCGAAUGCCUGCCCCAACAUACCCUGCUCAAAGCCGCCCUCCAUCCCCCCACCCCCACCCGGGGCAGCUCUGCCUGUGCACCCCUCGCGCCAUCUCCCUCACCACCAUCCGAGGGCAGGCAGUAUCGUGUACGCUCAGUUCAGCCCGGGCAAGGAGCAAUAACCCAGCUGAAGUUCAAGGUGGACCUGGGGCUAGACCGGGGAGAGCAGCCCAAGAAGCCUCCCUUCUAAAACAGGUAUGGAAAUACAACCUAACUGCGCAAGUGUCGGGUCCCAAAGCAGAACAAACAAGACACGGGCCAAGGCACGGCGGCUCCUCCUGCCGCCCCAGCGAGCUAACGGCCGGGCCUCCGAACCAGAGCACUGUGCCUACUCUAGCACACCCUGUCAUGCACAUGGAGUCACACAGGCCGGAUGUUCUUGCUCACAGAGAGAUCUGCCCUUGUUGCAGGAAUUGUCCUCAUCCAGACCGUGUGCUGUCCACUGUGUGACCAGGCCAUACUGGGCAUCUGGCCGGCUCCUGGGCUCUGCCUAUGACGGACAGUGCUGGGAGAUGCUCCCACCUUUUGGUUGAACACGUGUGCUCCUGCAGGAUGACACCAAGGACAGGCACGGGGUGGGCAGAGGUGUGUCAGCCUUGCCUUUGUGCACUUUCCACAGUGGUGGAGGUGGCGCAGCAGAGCCGCAAGGGAGGCCCUGCCACAGCUGCAUCCCAGCUUCUGCUCCCGGCUGACCGAGUGGCAGCCAAAAGGUGGCGGAGGGUCCCAGGAGGUGAUCGGGAACCAGGGCUGGGGCAGGGGGAGCCGUGUCCUGGGGCCACAACUCCUGGUGCCCGCAGAUCCCCCAGCGGUCAGCAGCGCCGGCCCCAGCUUCCUGUGCUGUCACAUUUCGGGGAUGUGUUUCCAGCUCCGUAAAUGAGGCCUUUGAGAAGCAACAGGGUUCACACCAGCCUUCCUCCCCCACUCGCCCAGCCUGGGAUUUGAAGAGCGUGGGAACCAGGCAGCCUUUGGCCGAGGUGACCACAUCCUUCCUCCUGGCACAACCAUGCUGGUGGGCACCAGGGGAGGGUGACCCUGCCAUAGGACUCUCGUGCCGAGCUUCUGUCUGUCACCGGAGGGAAGAGACGAAACCGGAGGACCCUAACAGGAGUCACACCGACUUCACCUCCUAGUGCCCCUGGACAAUCUGUGAAGCAGGAGGCAUGCUGGGCAGUCCCAGCAUGGGACAGAGUGCACUGGCCACUCACCAUUGUCCACCACCUGAGAGGCCUCUGGACCAGCCCAGAUGUCAAGAGCUGAGCAGAGCGGAGCCUCCCCAGUGCUGCUGUGUACCUGCCACACCUCCAGACGUGCAACUGAGCCAUGGGGUGUAGCCUCUCUGUGUCCAGCCACAGCUGCAGCCAGUGUGGUGGGGUGGGGGUGCCCGGCUCCUGGUCCUGCUCCCCUCACCAGCCACGCGCCUGCCCACUGGCUCUCCUCAGUGAGCUCCCGCUGCAGCCUAUCAGAGCUGGGGCACCACAUUUUGGUUGGGGUGCUGUCCAUCUUUUUUAAGAUUUAAUUAUUAUCAUUA